rnacentral:rRNA from 1 species
CCUGGCGGCCGUAGCGCGGUGGUCCCACCUGACCCCAUGCCGAACUCAGAAGUGAAACGCCGUAGCGCCGAUGGUAGUGUGGGGUCUCCCCAUGUGAGAGUAGGGAACCG